UAGCGUAGGGUGCGAGCGUUAAUCGGAAUUACUGGGCGUAAAGUGUGCGCAGGCGGCCGCGCAAGUCGAGUCGUGAAAGCCCCGAGCUUAACUUGGGAACUGCGCUCGAAACUACGUGGCUGGAGUGUGGCAGAGGAAGGUGGAAUUCCAGGUGUAGCGGUGAAAUGCGUAGAGAUCUGGAGGAACACCGAUGGCGAAGGCAGCCUUCUGGGCCAACACUGACGCUCAUGCACGAAAGCGUGGGGAGCGAAACAGGAUUAGAACCUACCGUAGU
rnacentral:rRNA from 1 species